AGACCAUCAGCAUCAGGAGUCAUCAGAUGACUUUACUGCUGAUGAAGACCUGGAGGUCAUCAUGGAUGAGAUCAUGGAUGAAGAAAAGGGACAGCUUAUGACUUGGGACUUCAGUCCAUUGUUCUUUGGACCAGUCACAGAAGUCAGAAGCCAGUCCAGAGAAUGUCAGCCUGCUGCAAGGGGCACAACCCUCCGCAGCACCGAGUGCCACACCCGUGACAUGAUGGU